UGGUCCGAUCAUACUAACACUAAUGCAUUGGAUUCCAUUAGAAUUCUGAAGUAAAGGGUGCUUGGGACAAGGUAGUACUAAGUUGGAUGACCACUUGAAAAGUUCUUGUGUUAUACCUA
rnacentral:rRNA from 1 species